GUGCCAGCCGCCGCGGUAAUACGUAGGGUGCAAGCGUUAAUCGGAAUUACUGGGCGUAAAGCGUGCGCAGGCGGUUUUGUAAGUCUGACGUGAAAUCCCCGGGCUUAACCUGGGAAUUGCGUUGGAGACUGCAAGGCUGGAGUCUGGCAGAGGGGGGUAGAAUUCCACGUGUAGCAGUGAAAUGCGUAGAGAUGUGGAGGAACACCGAUGGCGAAGGCAGCCCCCUGGGUCAAGACUGACGCUCAUGCACGAAAGCGUGGGGAGCAAACAGG
rnacentral:rRNA from 1 species